GGAGAAUGGCGUGAACCCGGGAGGCAGAGUUUGCAGUGAGCCAAGAUCUCACCACUCCACUCCAGCCUGGGUGACAGAGCCAGACUCCAUCUCAAAAAAAAAAUGCUUUUCAAAAAGUUUCAAUUUAGCACCGUAGAUGGCCCACAGGGACCUUGGACACCCAGAAUCCCACUGGCCCAGAACGGAUGCAACUGGGCUGGUUUCUCAUACUGCAGAUCUGUUAUAAGAGAAAACCUUUCCAGCCGUGUGCAGGCUCAGAAGAGAGACCAAUUAAACCUUUUACAAGGUGUUUUUUUGUUUUUUUUUUUUGAGAUGGAGUUUCACUCUUGUCACCCAGGCUGGAGUGUAGUGGCACGAUUUCGGCUCACUGCAACCUCUGCCUUCCAGGUUCAAGCGAUUCUCCUGCCUCAGCCUCCCCAGUAGCUGGGAUUACAGGCGCCCACCACCACAUCGGCUAAUUUUUGUAUUUUUGGUAGAGUCAGGGCUUCACCUUGUUGGCCGGGCUGGUCUCGAACUACUGACCUCAGGCGAUGUACCCGCUUGGCCCUCCCACAGGUGCUGGGAUUAUAGGCGUGAGCCACUGCGCCCAGCUACAACUGACUUUUUUGAUCCCUGGGAGAUGAGUCAACACCAAGGGACGACCAGUCCUAAGCCCUGGACAUGGACCUGGGGGUGAGGACAGAAGGGGAUCAGGACCAGCCCUCUCAUCCUGCACACUGAGGCAUGGGUGAUCCCAGGAAGCCACUCACCAGGCACCAGGGUGGCUUCCUGGAGGAGAGGAUGCUGAAGCCGACCUCAAGAAGUGUCUGUGUUAGGUUUAAGGACUCACAAGACUUCUCUGGCUGGACUAAAGGUAGGGUGAUCACAUGGUCAGGUUUGCCUUAUUGUCUGCAGGUUGUUGUUGUUAUUAUUGUGAUGAUGGAGUCGGGGUCCCACCAUGUUGCCUCCGCUGGUCUCCAAUUCCUGAGCUCAAGCGAUCAGCCUGAAGUGCUGGGAUUACAGGCGUGCUGGGAUUACAGGCGUGAGCCACUGUGCUUGGCCAAUCUAGUAAUUAUUUAAAGUACUUCCUGCUAUUCUAAAAAAAGUUUAUUCCCAUCUCAAUGAUAAAUGGCAGGGUCAUUUCAUUCCUUAUCUGUUGCUACAUAACAAAUUACCCCAGAUCUUAGUGGCUUGAAACAACAACAAACUUUUAUUAUCUCUCACAGUUCCUAUGGGUUAGGAAUUUAGGUGUGGCUGAACUUGGCAGUUCAAGGCAUUGGCUGGGGCUGCAAUCCAUUGGAAGGCUUGCCUGGGGCGGAAGGAUCUGUUUUCAAAGCCCCGAGCUGCCGGUUGGGGGUGGGAUGCCUCAGUUCCUCUCCAUAUGGGCCUCUCCAUGGGGCUGCUUGGGUGUCUUCAGGCCUUGGGGGUUGGUUUCCUACAGAGCAAGGGAUCUGGGAGAGAGGGAGCACCACGCAGAAGCCAUCCUUUCGUGCCCUAGCCUCGGAAGUCUCAUGGUAUUGCUUUUACCAUCUCCUAGUGACUUAGAAGAAAGUAGCCAAGACAGACAUUUAAAGGAGAGGGGGGUGGAGGGAUCCCAGGUUUUUUUUUUUUUUUUUUGACAUGGAGUCUGGCUCUGUCGCCCAGGCUGGAAUGCAGUGGCGCGAUCUCGGCUUCACGCCAUUCUCCUGCCUCAGCCUCCUGAGUAGCUGGGAAUACAGGCGCCCGCCACCACGCCUGGCUAAUUUUUCUAUUUUUAGUAGAGACGGGGUUUCACCGUGUUAGCCAGGAUGGUCUCGAUCUCCUGACCUUACAGGCGUGAGCCACUGCGCCCAGCCAAUCCUAGCUUUUAAAACCACCAGCAGCUGGGAGCAGUGGCUCAUGCCUGUAAUCCCAGCACUUUGGGAAACCAAGACGGGAGGAUCACUUAAGGUCAGGAGUUUGAGACCGGCAUGGACAACAGAGUGAGACCCCCUCUGUACAAAAAAUCUAAAAACUACCACGGUUGGCCAGGCGCAGUGCUCAUGCCUGUAAUCCCAGCACGUUGGGAGGCCAAGGCGCGCAGAUCACUUGAGGUCAGGAGUUCAAGACCAGCCUGUCCAACCUGGGAAAACCCAUCUAAAUUAAAAAUACAAAAAAUUAGCUGAGCAUGGUGGUGGUACCUGUAACCCCAGCUACUCAGGAGGCUGAGGCAGGAGCAUCACUUC
rnacentral:lncRNA from 1 species